AGAUCACUGGUAAUGCUAUCUUGAAGUCGAGGUAGAUCUUAAUAGGCCAUUGACUCUAGUCAGGUCGCCUACCAUAAAAUUAUUUUGUUGGAAGAGCUGCAAGGAGAUCAAAUUUGACUCGGAUAAACUUUCAAUGUUUUUAUAUGGCUAUUCUUGAGAAGGACGAUGAAAUCAUCUCUGCAGCAUCUCUGAGAAAACAUGGGACAAAGAUUGUGGAGAUUCCCUUUGUUACAACACAUGAAAAAUAUAGGCAUCAAGGGAGGUGGUGAAAGCUUCUGCUUGUGGUUGA